UUCCGGUUGAUCCUGCCGGACCCCACUGCUAUCGAGGUGGGACUAAGCCAUGCUAGUUGAGCGCACAGAACUAUGUCUGUGAGCGGCACACUGCUCAGUAACACGUAGCUAACCUACCCUUAGGACGUGGACAACCCCGAGAAAUUGGGGCUAAUCCGCGAUAGAUGUAUUGUCCUGGAAUGGUAUUACGUCUAAAGGUAUCCCAUACAUGUUUGGUAUAUGCCUAAGGAUGGGGCUGCGGCCGAUCAGGCUGUUGGUGGGGUAAUGGCUCACCAAACCUUUGACCGGUACGGGCCAUGAGAGUGGUAGCCCGGAGAUGGACACUGAGACAAGGGUCCGGGCCCUACGGGGCGCAGCAGGCGCGAAACCUCCUCAAUGCACUUACGUGCGAAGGGGCUACCUCGAGUGCCACCUGAUGAAGG
rnacentral:rRNA from 1 species